rnacentral:tRNA from 2 species
GGGCGGAUGUAGCCAAGUGGAUUAAGGCGGUGGAUUGUGAAUCCACCAUGC